rnacentral:rRNA from 1 species
GCGUAGACGAUGACCAACAGGUAGAUAUUCCUGUACCACCGAUUGUCGAUAAAGAGCUGAUGCAGUGACACAGGAGGAUAGCGAAUCCGCGGUAAUGGAAAUCUGCGGCCAAAUCAUGAGGGGUCUAAAUUGUAAAGUACGUUUAGAGCGCACCCUAGGUGAUGAUGGGGAGUGAAAAUUAGUAAUGAAGUUCGUGAAUUCACACUGGCGAGAAAAGCUGCUAGGUAGACAAUAGGUGCCCGUACCGCAAUCCGACACAGGUAGAUGAUGAGAGAAUCAUAAGACGAACGGGAUAACCCUUGUUAAGGAACUCGGCAAAAUGACCCCGUAACUUCGGAAUAAGGGGUGCCAGCGCAAGCUGGUCGCAGUUAAUCGGCCCAAGCGACUGUUUAUCAAAAACACAGGUUUCUGCUAAAGCGCAAGCUGAAGUAUAGGAGCUGACGCCUGCCCGGUGCUGGAAGGUUAAGAGGAGAGGUUAGCGCAAGCAAAGCUUUGAAUUUAAGCCCCAGUGAACGGCGGCCGUAACUAUAACGGUCCUAAGGUAGCGAAAUUCCUUGUCAGGUAAGUUCUGACCCGCAUGAAUGGCGUAACGACUUGGGCACUGUCUCAACAGGGGACCCGGCGAAAUUGUAGUAUACGUGAAGAUGCGUAUUACCCGCGACUAGACGGAAAGACCCCGUAGAGCUUUACUGUAAUUUGGCAUUGAGUUUCGGAGUUCGAUGUACAGGAUAGGUGGGAGACUUUGAAGCAGAGGCGUCAGCCUUUGUGGAGUCAACCUUGGGAUACCACCCUUUGGACUUUGAGGCUCUAACGUUGUGCAGUUAUCCUGGCAGCGGACAGUGUCUGAUGGACAGUUUGACUGGGGCGGUCGCCUCCUAAAGAGUAACGGAGGCGCUCAAAGGUUCCCUCAGGAUGGUUGGAAACUAUCUUUUAGAGUGUAAAGGCAUAAGGGAGCUUAACUGCGACACCUACAAGUGGAGCAGAUACGAAAGUAGGACUUAGUGAUCCGGCGGUUGAGUAUGGAAUUGCCGUCGCUUAACGGAUAAAAGUUACCUCGGGGAUAACAGGCUUAUCUCUCCCAAGAGUUCACAUCGACGGGGAGGUUUGGCACCUCGAUGUCGGCUCCUCACAUCCUGGGGCUGUAGUAGGUCCCAAGGGUUCGGCUGUUCGCCGAUUAAAGUGGCACGCGAGCUGGGUUCAGAACGUCGUGAGACAGUUCGGUCCCUAUCUAUCGUGGGCGUAGGAUAUUUGAGUGGAGCUGUCCCUAGUACGAGAGGACCGGGAUGGACAUACCAAUGGUGCACCAGUUGUCACGCCAGUGGCAUAGCUGGGUAGCGAUGUAUGGAAAGGAUAAAUGCUGAAAGCAUCUAAGCGUGAAACCUGCCACAAGAUUAGAUAUCCCAUAACAUAAGUUAGUAAGACCCCUUGAAGACUACAAGGUUGAUAGGUCGGAGGUGUAAGUGCAGUAAUGCAUUGAGCUGACCGAUACUAAUAGGUCGAGGGCUUGAUCAC